AUGUCAGCAGUGCCUUAGCAGCACGUAAAUAUUGGUGUUAAGAUUCUAAAAUUAUCUCCAGUAUUAACUGUGCUGCUGAAGUAAGGUUGGCAA
ensembl:miRNA microRNA 16-1